AUUUUCUGUAAAGCAUGGAAUUUCAUAUCUAGAACACUAGCAUUCUGUGAGCGCAAAUGAACUGUAAUUGCUGUUCAGUUUCAUGCCUGCAACAUAAUAGAGAACUCACGGUAAAAUAAAAAACAAACAAACAAAAGAAGUGUAACAGAUAGAAAGGACUCUUUUCUUAAUUUGCAGUGAUACCCAAGCGUUGUGAACAACCUCUGUCAACACCAUCUGCUCCACAAAGGAAAGUUGCUGAUUAUUGCAUCUCUAAGUGGAGUCGAUUCUCUCCCAUGAUAGCAGAAGGUUGAAGAAAGAAAAUGGCAAAAUAGAAAAGUCCAUGCUUACAGAAACCAGGGGAGUAGGAGGAAGAAAUUCUAUCUUCAUUCCAGGCUAUAAAAACGCUAUAUUCUAUGAGUGAUUUCUUCGCAACAUUUAGAAAGAAAGAGAGACUAUAGUCUUCAUCAUUCUGGGUAAAGAAGCAUAAGUGAGUUUUUAAUUUUUUUUCCUCAUGGCAGCA
rnacentral:lncRNA from 10 species